rnacentral:rRNA from 1 species
ACUCUAAGCGGUGGAUCACUCGGCUCAUGGGUCGAUGAAGAACCCAGCAAACUGUGCGUCAUCGUGUGAACUGCAGGACAUAUGGGACUACCCCUUGAAUUUAAGCAUAUUAAUUAGGGGAGGAAAAGAAAGGAUUUUCUUAGUAGCGGCGAGCGAAAAGAAAACAGUUCAGCACUAAGUCCCUUUGUCUAUAUGGCAAAUGUGGGAUGUAGUGUAUGGAGCGUCACUAGUAUGAGAAAUUAACGCAUAGAGGGUGCCAGGCCAGUAUAAAGUUAAUGAUUACUAGAUGAUGUUUCCAAAGAGUCGUGUUGCUUGAUAGUGCAGCACUAAGUGGGUGGUAAACUCCAUCUAAAACUAAAUAUAACCAUUAGACCGAUAGUAAACAAGUACCGUGAGGGAAAGUUGAAAAGAACACUGAAUAGAGAUAUUAUAAUUAUUGAAUAUAAUGUAUAUUACUUGAGCAUAUAUGCUGUGACCCGAAAGAUGGUGAACUAUACUUCAUCAGGUUAAAGUCAGGGGAAACCCUGAUGGAAGACCGAAACAGUUCUGACGUGCAAAUCGAUUGUCAGAUUUGAGUAUAGGGGCGAAAGACCAAUCGAACCAUCUAGUAGCUGGUUCCUUCCGAAGUUUCCCCCAGGAUAGGUGGUGCAUUUUAAUAUUAUAUAAAAUAAUCUUAUCUAGUAAAGCGAAUGAUUAGAGGCCUUAGGUUCGAAACGAUCUUAACCUAUUCUCAAACUUUAUGGGUAAGAACGUUAACUUUCUUGAUAUGAAGUUCAAGGUUAUGAUAUAAUGUGCCCAGUGCGCCACUUUUGGUAAGCAGAACUGGCGCUGUGGGAUAAACCAAACGUAAUGUUACGGUGCCCAAAUUAACAACUCAUGCAGAUACCAUGAAAGGCUUUGGUUGCUUAAAACGGAAGACCGUUGAUCAUGGAAGUCGAAAUCCGCUAAGGAGUGUGGAAGCAACUAGCCAUUAAAAUGGAUGGCGCUUAAGUUGUAUACCUAUACAUUACCGCUAAAGUAGAUGAUUUAUAUUACUUGUGAUAUAAAUUUUGAAACUUUAGUGAGUAGGAAGGUACAAUGGUAUGCGUAGAAGUGUUUGGCGUAAGGUGGUAGUAGCAAAUAAUCGAAUGAGACAUUGGAGGACUGAAGUGGAGAAGGGUUUCGUGUGAAUAGUGGUUGAUCACGAGUUAGUCGGUCAUAAGUUCAAGGCGAAAGCCGAUAAUUUUCAAGUAAAACAAAAAUGCCAAAUUAUAUAAACAAAGCGAAAAUAAUACACUUGAAUAAUUUUGAACGAAAGGGAAUAUGGUUCCCAUUCCGUAACCUGUUGAGUAUCCGUUUGUUAUUAAAUAUGGGCCUCGUGCUCAUCCUGGCAACAGGAACGACCAUAAAGAAGCCGUCGAGAGAUAUCGGAAGAGUUUUCUUUUCUGUUUUAUAGCCGUACUACCAUGGAAGUCUUUCGCAGAGAGAUAUGGUAGAUGGGCUAGAAGAGCAUGACAUAUACUGUUGUGUCGAUAUUUUCUCCUCGCACCUUGAAAAUUUAUGGUGGGGACACGCAAACUUCUCAACAGGCCGUACCAAUAUCCGCAGCUGGUCUCCAAGGUGAAGAGUCUCUAGUCGAUAGAAUUAUGUAGGUAAGGGAAGUCGACAAAUUAGAUCCGUAACUUCGGGAUAAGGAUUGGCUCUGAAGAUUGAGAUAGUCGGGCUUGAUUGGGAAACAAUAACAUGGUUUAUGUGCUCGUUCUGGGUAAAUAGAGUUUCUAGCAUUUAUAAUAUGUUAGUUACUUGUUCCCCGGAUAGUUUAGUUACGUAGCCAAUUUUGGAGCGUUCUUGCUAAAAUUUUUAAGAAUACUAUUUGGGUUAAGCCAGUUAGUUCUUAUUAAUUAUAACGAUUAUCAAUUAACAAUCAAUUCAGAACUGGCACGGACUUGGGGAAUCCGACUGUCUAAUUAAAACAAAGAUGGCCCUAGCGGGUGUUGACACAAUGUGAUUUUUGCCCAGUGCUCUGAAUGUCAAAGUGAAAAAUUCAAGUAAGCGCAUUAAUGGAUUAACGAGAUUCCUACUGUCCCAAUCUACUUACUGUCAGUGACGGACGUGUUUUCUACGAGCUCCCAUUAAUACGGUCAUUUUUGGUGUAAAUCCACGGUAUGACACCGCCGCACAGGUAGCUGCCAAGAGACGACUGUCCUCCUGCCAUAGACUGAUCCUCCUUGGAUGUCUAUCGGUAUGCAGAGCUUGACUUGGCCGCUAAGAAAUUAGCGGUCAAAUACACGGUGAAGCGUGGAUACCCGCUGGAGGAGAACGACUGGCUCUAUGGCGAGGACAUUGCGCGUCUAAGCCGGGAGCAAAAAGAGAUUCGCCUAUAGGAAUGCUUGCUACUGAGUUGGCAAAGCAGAUGGGAUGACGACAGCGAACCAGGACGGGUGACGCACAAGUUCAUCCCGGACGUCACCCUUCUCUAUCGGGAUCCCAAUCUUGGUUUCUCGUUGAUGGCGUCUUUCUUGCCCUCAGCGAUACCACUGCUUGCGCAUGUGGUGAUCCAUACGAGGAUUGGGUGCACGUGUUGUGCGCCUGCCCCUUAGACUGGACAUUUGAAAGAAUCCUGGAGGAUCGGGAGAGAAACCAACGGCUGGCUGUGUUCGCUGAGUUGGCGUUCCGCAGAAGAGGGGGCACUUAGCCUGACGCUUCACCGUGUGGUUAGCGGGCGUGCCCGGCAAGCAAGCACUCGAAUUGCUACCGGGGUGGUUGCUAUGUACAUAGCUAUAGCUUCAAGACCGGGACGUUUUGUCUAGCGUAUCAUAUGCAUCAUAUGCUCACUUGU